rnacentral:rRNA from 1 species
CCUUCCGUAGGGGAACCUGCGGAAGGAUCAUUACUGAAAUGUAAUAACUUCUAUUGAAAGGUUCCAGAGUAGGCGCUACAACGCCGAAAUGACCUUCUCACCCUUGUGUACUCACUAUGUUGCUUUGGCGGGUCGACCUGGUUCCGACCCAGGCGGCCGGCGCCCCCAGCCUUAACUGGCCAGGACGCCCGGCUAAGUGCCCGCCAGUAUACAAAACUCAAGAAUUCAUUUUGUGAAGUCCUGAUAUAUCAUUUAAUUGAUUAAAACUUUCAACAACGGAUCUCUUGGUUCUGGCAUCGAUGAAGAACGCAGCGAAAUGCGAUAAGUAAUGUGAAUUGCAGAAUUCAGUGAAUCAUCGAAUCUUUGAACGCACAUUGCGCCCUCUGGUAUUCCGGAGGGCAUGCCUGUUCGAGCGUCAUUUCAACCCUCAAGCUCUGCUUGGUAUUGGGCAACGUCCGCUGCCGGACGUGCCUUGAAGACCUCGGCGACGGCGUCCUAGCCUCGAGCGUAGUAGUAAAAUAUCUCGCUUUGGAGUGCUGGGCGACGGCCGCCGGACAAUCGACCUUCGGUCUAUUUUUCCAAGGUUGACCUCGGAUCAGGUAGGGAUACCCGCUGAACUUAAGCAUAUCAAUA